AACUGCCCAUGAUUUAAUGCACUCGCUUUGCUUGCCCUAAUUGGAGUCACCACAGGAGGGCGCUCUAGACUUAUAGGAUUUAAGUGAGACAAAGCAGAGUAAGAGCAAUUCACGUUUGUUCACGAGCUAACAGGUACAGCUCGGAAGAAUGCCUUGAGCUUUUAGUGUCCCUUCGGCAAGCAGAGCGAGUUUUACGGUGCUUUUGGUGCCUUUGGUCUUUUGAUGCUUCUGUGUAUACAACAAAGAACUGAGACGAUGAUUUAUGUGAUGAACUUUUUUGCAUCCAAGUAAACCUUUUUAAAUGCACCCAUCAAAAACUCUCUGCCUAUUUAUUGAAAGCUGAAGGGCUGCUACAGUAAAACUCGCUGCUACACAUGGCGUUUGCAUCGCGUUGGUGAUUCAUCACAUGAGUGUCAUGUUACAAGCCUUCAUCUUGUCUGUGGCACUGCAUGGCAUCUACAAGAGACUGAAUCUACACUAGGACGGCGACUUUACACGGUUAACUGGGAAAACUCUUCAUGAAAGACUGAAAGGUGACUGCAAACAAACGUUGUGGACUCAGAGGUACAAGAAAGGGAAAAAUAUUUAUCUAUUUAUUACUUUUGGGAUAAUUGCAAUUUUUAAAGAAAAAAAAAGGGAUUUAUAUUUGUAUGCUUUGUUGAAUUUGUAUGCAGUAAUUGAAGUUUGAGAAUGAGGAGUGACUAAUGAUUUAAGUGCUCAUGUUUCAAGGUGUUUGUGUAAUGUUGGGCUUAUAUUCAUGAUGCAUGUAUUAGACAAAUGUUUGCAAUUUUAAAGUG